AAAAGAUAAGCUAAAUUUAAGCUAAUGGGUUCAUAUCCCAUUUAUAAAGGUUUAAUCCUUUUCUUUU
rnacentral:tRNA from 1 species